GUCCGUUCGUCGUUUUCAUUCAUUCGCUAGUGAAAAGUAUGGCCGAACGAACGUCGUAACGUCGAGUCGUGAGUGCAGAAGAAGAAAUAGUGUUAAUUUUAGUGUGAUGACAUCAUUUUGACCCCCGCCCGAAUAAAAUUGUGUCCGAAGAGCCGCGAAGAGAAGUGCGGGAGAAGCGUUCGAGUUUGACGACGGAGAAGCGCUUGAAGUCGUGGUCGUUGCUGUUUUCUUGGUGUGUUAGAAGAAGGUGUGUGAACGUGGGGGGAAUCCGAAGCGAAGAAGAAAAGUGUGUGCAUUUCGGUUAUCCGGCAAUUUGUUGGCAGAGGUGAAACAGGUCCGGAACUGCUGGGAAAAUCCGGAAAUUGACCACCGGUCGUGUAGAAACGAACAACGCGACGGGAUUUGAGUCGCAGUCUGCGUCUUGUUGGAAGCCCGCCGCCUUGGUGCGGUGUAGGAAUAAGGACUUUUGACGAAGAGAACAAGUGAAGUGUUGGGGAAGUGUUGCGACGAAAAAGCGAUAGCAGUGAUUUAGGCGUAGACGCAAAUUUCGAAAACCAUGUGGACAUUCGGUAGUAGGGACGGCGGGCUCGUCCUGCUACUGGUGGUGGCUGCCGUCAAUGUGAUCGCCGUGCAGAGUUUGAUCCACUCACCGCCUCGCAUCAUCAAACAGCCGCCAACGGAUGAGAUGCUGUUCCAGGUGGCGCAGCCAGGUGAAAACGACAAACCCUUCGUCAUCGAGUGCGAAGCGGAAGGUGAACCGUCUCCCAAAUACCGCUGGAUCAAGAACGGCAAAAAGUUCGAAUGGCAAACGUACGAUGACCGUAUGUCGCAGCAGCCGGGUCGCGGUACCCUGGUUAUCAAGUCUCCCCGGGACGAAGAUCUCGGUCAGUAUCAGUGCUUCGCGGAGAAUGAGCACGGAACGGCCACUUCCAAUUCGGUGUUUGUGCGCAAGGCCGAACUGAACUCGUUCAAGGAUGAAUCCGCCAAAACCAUCGACGUGGACGAGGGAUCGCCGCUGAAGAUGCAGUGCCAGCCGCCGGAUGGUUGGCCACGACCGAACGUUUACUGGUUGAUUCAGAACAUGGACGGUGGCAUCAGCUCGAUCAACAACUCUCGGAUGACUCUGGAUCCGGAAGGUAACCUGUGGUUCUCUAACGUGACUCGUGGAGAUGCUUCGGAUGAUUUCGUUUAUGCUUGUGCGGCUUCUUCUCUGUUCAGAAAUGAAUAUAAGAUCGGUAAUCGAGUGCUGCUACAGGUUAAGCCCACGGGUAUUUCAGCUGCCCAGAACAAGCAUCGUCCGGAGAGGCAAUACGUGUCCAGGAAGAACGAGGUCGCGCUGAGAGGUAAGAAGAUUGAAAUUUUCUGUAUCUAUGGAGGAACGCCACUGCCGCAGGUGGUUUGGACCAAAGAUGGUCGACCGGUUCAGUGGAGCGAUAAGAUUCAGCAGAACAAUUACGGGAAGUCGUUGGUGAUUAAACACGCCUCGUUUGAGGAUCAGGGAACCUAUACUUGCGAGUCGUCGAACGGAGUGGGAAGUGCAGAAUCGUACUCGAUUCGAUUGGAAGUACAGGCUGUGCCGUACUUCACAAAAGAGCCGGAGAUCUACAACGCUGCCGAGGAUGAAACAGCGGAGUUCACCUGCGAAGCUUCCGGUGUGCCGAAGCCGAACAUUAUCUGGAUUCACAACGGAAAACCCCUUGACCAGUCGAAACCUAACCCAAGACGUCAAGUUAGCUCGAACAGAAUUUACUUCACUAAGUUGGAGAAGGGUGAUACCGGUAAUUACGGUUGUAACGCCACCAACUCUCUAGGUUACGUUUACAAGGAUGUGUACCUGAAUGUCUUGGCCUUGGCGCCUGAGAUCACCGAACCACCAAAGCUAGAAUACACCGUCGAUCGACGCAACGUUACCAUGACCUGUCGAGUUUUCGGUGCUCCGAAACCGGAAGUCAAAUGGAUCCGCAACGGACGUGAGUUGACCGGAGGUAAGUUCAAGGUCGAAGCUAAUGGAGAUCUGUUCAUUCGUGGAGUCGAGUUCUCCGAUGCAGGCGAGUACACCUGUAAUGCGGUGAACAAACUUGGAGAGAAGUCCGCUUCUGGUGAACUGGUUGUCAAGGAGCACACGAAGAUCAUUGACGAGCCUCAGGAUUACGAAGUUGUUGCCGGAACUCCAGCAACCUUCCGGUGUAACGCAGUGGCCGAUAGCUCGCUAGAACUCACCAUCGAAUGGUUGACGAACGGUGAAACGAUCGAUUUCGAAAGCCAGCCGCGAUUCGUCAUGACCAACGAUUACUCGUUAACGAUUUCGAAAACCAUCGAAUUGGAUACCGGCGUUUACACUUGCUUUGCGCGUACCGAUCUGGAUGAAGUAAUGGCCAACGCCACCCUGACAGUGUACGAUCGACCGAAUGCACCUUCUUUGGAGAGCAUUGAAUGCCACCAAACUGUAGCCACUCUCUCAUGGAAGCCAAACGGCGACAAUCGGUCUCCAAUUCUGCAUUACACCAUCGAGUUCAAUACCUCAUUCACCCCGGAUACUUGGGAGAUCUCCUCAAAGGACGUCCCGGCCACAGAUUUCACCUACAGCGUGGACAUGAGCCCCUGGUCAAACUAUACAUUCCGAGUGAUUGCCAUCAACAAGGUCGGUCCUUCCCUCCCAUCAGGACACAGCGACGUCUGCACCACUCAGCCAAGUGUUCCCUUCAAGAACCCGGACAACGUCGAGGGUCAAGGCACUGAACCGAACAAUCUAGUCAUCCGAUGGACCCCCAUGUCCGAAAUCGAACACAACGCUCCACGAUUCCAAUACCGCGUAUACUGGCAGCUGGACACCGGAGUCGACCACUGGAACACCGAAGAUAUCUUCGAUUGGCGUCAGUCGGAACUGGUCGUUCGAGAUCAGGAAACAUUCCGUCGGUAUCGUAUUAAGGUCGUAGCCAUCAACGAAUUGGGAGAAGCCAACGUUGCUCCCAAAGAAGUCAUCGGAUAUUCCGGUGAAGACAAACCACUGGACACUCCUACCAACUUCACACUGAUUCAGGUCACCGCUCCUACCUCAGCCAUCCUCAGCUGGAAUGCAGUUUCGGAAGAAAGCAUUCGAGGCCACUUCAAGGGCUACAAAAUCCAAACCUGGACCGAUGCGGAUGGAGAGGAGAACCUUCGGGAAAUUCUCGUUACUGCUGACUCCAAGCAAGCUUUAGUCACCGACUUCGUCCCGGAUUCGACAAAUUACGCGCGAAUUCUCGCCUAUAACGGACGAUUCAAUGGACCCCCAAGUACAACCCUGUCCUUCGAUACCCCCGAAGGUGUUCCAAACACGAUCCAAACCCUGGACGCCAUCCCUCUGGGAUCUUCUGCUUUCCUGCUGAAGUGGAAGAAACCACUGCAGCCCAACGGAAAGCUGACCGGCUACAAGAUCUACUACGAAGAAGUGAAAGGCACCUCGUUUGGACCCCGAAUGGAACGCGAACCGCACAUCCACGAUCCGAAAAUCACCGAAGCCAAGCUGGGCAAGCUGAAGCCCAACACCAAGUAUCGGGUGCACGUCGUCGGUACAACGAAAGCCGGAGAGGGACAAGACUACUACAUCGAGCAGAAGACUGGCACCGGCACGGCGAUCGUCCCCGAUCAGCCCUACUUCGCGUGGGAACAGGAACCCAAUGACAACGGCCAGGCGGACAUCCGGGUCAUUUGGCAGCCGAACCUGGAGGGCAAACCGGGCUCGCACUUCUUCGUCAAGUACCGGAUCAAGGGCGAGAACCAGUGGCUGAUGACGGAACCGGUGCUGUACGAGAACCACCACACCGUGCACGGGCUGGAUCCGGACACCAACUACGAGUUCCGGGUCGUGUCCGUGGACGGCGAGUUCCAGACGGAGUCGCUCUCGCAGGAGGUGGACACUUCAGGCAUUGAUACCCCCAUCAAGGUACCGAGCCAGAACGUGGCCACGGCCGGCUGGUUCAUCGGAAUGAUGCUGGCCAUCGCGUUCCUGAUACUGCUGCUGAUCAUCAUCUGUAUCAUCAAGCGGAACCGCGGCGGAAAGUACGACGUGCACGACCGGGAGCUGGCCAACGGUCGGAACGACUACACCGAGGAGGGCGGCUUCCCCGAGUACUCCCAACCUGUUUUGCGUGAUUACAGCUUGGACAAUAAAAGCCAGGGCCGACAGUCGAUGAGCUCGCAAAAGGUGGGACCGGAAAGUGAUACUGAUUCCAUGGCGGAAUAUGGUGAAGGUGAUACAGAAGGUAUGAAUGAGGACGGUUCCUUCAUCGGGCAGUACGGCCGAAAGGGCAAGAACGCGGACAGCAACUCACAGGCGUUUGCGACUUUAGUUUAAGAUGAUUUUAGGCAGCAACACAAAACAAACAAAAAAACGUAGUCCGAGAAAAAUAGUCUAGUUGCUAGUAAGAUGAGGUAGCUUCGAGAUAAAGAGGGAAAGAAAACGACCAAAAUCGUGGGCCGUUGAAAAAUUUGAGCAAAAAUCCUGGAUUGUUAUCAUGGUUUUAAUAGUGGAGGACGCGAUACAACAGAGGGUUGUAUGGCGGGUAACACAGUGCAACUACCGACGAGCCAAUCAAAUCACACACUAGCCAGAAAUGUAUUUGAACUGUGGGAGAUAUAGCGUUAAAUUUUUCCGAGUAUUCUUUUUGUACUAUGUAGGAGCGAAAAUCAAACGAAUUCAGAAAAAAACGUAGGCAGGGUCGAACAUAUUUUUUUAUGUUUAGGAGAAACGUUGUUCGCUUUGUUUUUUUAGUAAUUAUCGGUUAAGUAAGUUUUUGAAGGAUUGAACUUGGAAAGUGUAAUUUAUUUCCAUUUUUUUGUUUUUAAAUUAUUUAUUUGACGUCAUGUGAGUUUGCUGUUCACUUGCUCCUUUGUUUUAAGCAGUUUUUGUGGAAUUCGAAUGCAGCUUCAGUUUCUUUUGUUUGAAAGGCGGUCAAUUCACCGAAGAUGGAUCGUUUAUUGGGCAGUACGUGCCAGGAAAGCCUCCGGUCAGCGCUCAAUCAACGCCGCAGAAUCCGUCGCUGCAAGGAGGUAACGCUGGAAUGGCCACGUACGUCUAAGCGAUCGCUGUUGCAUCUCAUUAUCCGGCAAAUCUGCACGGAAUGAUCUAAUCAAUCGCGCUGACAGCAGGAGCAGUGGACAGCAAAUCGUGAAGAAGAACAUGCAUCACGUUCACACUUUUUCAACAAUUGAUUUUGAAGGAUUUUUAUCGUUCUUUUCUGAACUUUCUGAUUACCGUUAAACACAAUAGACUAAGUGCGCCCGAGUUGGGCGAUCGACUCGGUUGUUAAAGGCAGUUCCAAUCGUUCUCAUUGAUCAACGCGGUCUAGUCGCAACUUGACCGCAUCGCAUAAUUUUGCAAAAUGAUGAAACUCAAAAGAAAUGUGUUCAAUGCAAAUUUUUUAAACGAAAAUAAUCAAGCAUCAAACUGGAAAUCAUCAUUUGUUUAUUAGAGACAGGAAAAUCACUCCACGACUACUACUACUACUACAAUCUCAGUACAAACUACAACAAUUUCCAUUUCACAGCGAGCGUGUGAGCUCUUUUUUAGCUUUAGAGAGCCCCUUUCUAUCUACACGUGCUUUAAUAUCCGUAAAUAUUGUACGAAAUGACCGUUAGAUCGGGACUGAGGAUCCUCUCAAAGAGUUGGAUCGAUUUCCGUUUGCAACUAUCUGCUUAAAAUUAUCAUCUGCUUAAAAAAGGGAACACAUCCCCGAAGGAAGCUAUCGAAGUAACGCCUUCUUUGAAUUGUAGUCCGGCCCGAUUAGGUUUAUUUUUUGGAUUUUAAUCUCCAUUUCGUUCCUUUAUUUAACUUUACCUGACACGUCUGGCGAACAUUUAAGGCUGAAUAACAGUUUACCGAUUAGCUUCAUAAACUGUUAUUCAGCGCGAAAUGCUUGUUAGCGCUUACGAAUCGCUUAAUAGAUCUGUUCAUUCAGUUUUGGCGUCCUUCACCGGUGGAAAGGAACUUGCAACUACCAUAUUCAUGAAUCAAUUUCGUCCAGUAAGAAUGAAUCUCUUUGUUUAGUUGUACUAGUUGUAAAUGCUUAAGAAAUCUAAAAAACAAUUUAUUGAAAGAAAAGUAAUCCACUCUCUCCGCUCGAAACUUUGAGAUAAAAAAAAACCGAAGAGCUGCCAGGAGGAAAGAUCUAAGUCUUAGGUUGUUGUUAAUUUUAUACACAGUUUAUAAAAUUAGUGCAAACAAAUUGGAAUGAUGAGGAAUCGAAAAGUGCGCGGACUUGGAGAUGAUGGUUAGCACAAAACCGAACGAGAAACCACUCCCCUUUGAUGACGUGGCAGACGAAUAGAAACAUCACAAACAGAAACUUGUAAGCGAGGGGGAGAGAUGGAACGAUAUGUCUGUAUAUAAAGCAAAACAAACAACAAGUGCUGCUAUUAUUACUUUUAGGAAAAAACAAAAGCUAUAUAUUUUAUAUUUUUCUCUGAAUGCAAAUCUCUGCUCUAUUGAAAAUGAGGGAAGAACGUACCGAAACGAAAAUAUUAAACUGAAGCAAAAUGCGUUAGAAUGCAAUUCUCUUUUUUUCUCUUUUUGUAUGUCAAAUCGACUAACUGACACUUGAUGGAAAGUAUCGCGCGAAUUCCUUCGAAUUAUUAUUAUUAUUACUAGUUUUAAUUGUUUAGUGCGAGAAUCAAAGCUAAAUGUUCACAUUUUUAUUUGUAAUAAAGAAAUUCUUUACAAACAA